rnacentral:rRNA from 1 species
AUUGAACGCUGGCGGCAUGCCUUACACAUGCAAGUCGAACGGCAGCACGGAGCUUGCUCUGGUGGCGAGUGGCGAACGGGUGAGUAAUAUAUCGGAACGUACCCAAGAGUGGGGGAUAACGUAGCGAAAGUUACGCUAAUACCGCAUACGAUCUAAGGAUGAAAGUGGGGGAUCGCAAGACCUCAUGCUCCUGGAGCGGCCGAUAUCUGAUUAGCUAGCUGGUGAGGUAAAGGCUCACCAAGGCAUCGAUCAGUAGCUGGUCUGAGAGGACGACCAGCCACACUGGAACUGAGACACGGUCCAGACUCCUACGGGAGGCAGCAGUGGGGAAUUUUGGACAAUGGGGGCAACCCUGAUCCAGCAAUGCCGCGUGAGUGAAGAAGGCCUUCGGGUUGUAAAGCUCUUUUGUCAGGGAAGAAACGGUGAAGGCUAAUAUCCUUUGCUAAUGACGGUACCUGAAGAAUAAGCACCGGCUAACUACGUGCCAGCCGCCGCAGUAA